GCAGCAGCCGCGGGAAUACGAAGGGGGCUAGCGUUGCUCGGAAUGACUGGGCGUAAAGGGCGCGUAGGCGGUUUUGACAGUCAGAUGUGAAAUUCCUGGGCUUAACCUGGGGGCUGCAUUUGAGACGUCAAGACUAGAGUGUGAGAGAGGGUUGUGGAAUUCCCAGUGUAGAGGUGAAAUUCGUAGAUAUUGGGAAGAACACCGGUGGCGAAGGCGGCAACCUGGCUCAUUACUGACGCUGAGGCGCGAAAGCGUGGGGAGCAAACAGGAUUAGAUACCCCAGUAGUCCCUGUCUCUUAUAC
rnacentral:rRNA from 1 species